AUUGAACGCUGGCGGCAGGCCUAACACAUGCAAGUCGAACGCGUGGCGGACGGGUGAGUAAUGUCAGGGCGAAUGCCAGCUGGAGGGGGGUAACUGCUGGAAACGGUAGCUAAUACCGCAUACCAUCAGAUGUUCCCAGAUGGGUUUAGCUAGUUGGUGGGGUAACGGCUCACCAAGGCGACGAUCCCUAGCUGGUCUGAGAGGAUGACCAGCCACACUGGAACUGGUACACGGUCCAGCCUCCUACGGGAGGCAGCAGUGGGGAAUAUUGGACAAUGGGGGCAAGCCUGAUGCAGCAAUGCCGCGUGUAUGAAGAAGGCCUUCGGGUUGUAAAGUACUUUCAGCAGGGAGGCGUUACCCGCAGAAGAAGCACCGGCUAACUCCGUGCCAGCAGCCGCGGUAAUUC
rnacentral:rRNA from 1 species